UACGGGGGGGGCAAGCGUUGUUCGGAAUUACUGGGCGUAAAGGGCGCGUAGGCGGCCUGCUAAGUCGGAUGUGAAAUCCCUCGGCUCAACCGAGGAACUGCAUCCGAUACUGGGGGGCUUGAAUCCGGGAGAGGGAUGUGGAAUUCCAGGUGUAGCGGUGAAGUGCGUAGAUAUCUGGAGGAACACCGGUGGCGAAGGCGGCAUCCUGGACCGGUAUUGACGCUGAGGCGCGAAAGCUAGGGGAGCAAACGGG
rnacentral:rRNA from 1 species